rnacentral:rRNA from 1 species
UGGGGAAUCUUAGACAAUGGGGGCAACCCUGAUCUAGCCAUGCCGCGUGAGUGAUGAAGGCCUUAGGGUUGUAAAGCUCUUUCAGCUGGGAAGAUAAUGACGGUACCAGCAGAAGAAGCCCCGGCUAACUCCGUGCCAGCAGCCGCGGUAAUACGGAGGGGGCUAGCGUUGUUCGGAAUUACUGGGCGUAAAGCGCACGUAGGCGGACCAGAAAGUUGGGGGUGAAAUCCCGGGGCUCAACCUCGGAACUGCCCUCAAAACUAUUGGUCUGGAGUUCGAGAGAGGUGAGUGGAAUUCCGAGUGUAGAGGUGAAAUUUCGUAGAUAUUCGGAGGAACACCAGUGGCGAAGGCGGCUCACUGGCUCGAUACUGACGCUGAGGUGCGAAAGCGUGGGGAGCAAAACAGGAUUAGAUACCCUGGUAGUCCACGCCGUAAACGAUGAAUGCCAGACGUCGGGCAGCAUGCUGUUCGGUGUCACACCUAACGGAUUAAGCAUUCCGCCUGGGGAGUACGGUCGCAAGAUU